rnacentral:rRNA from 1 species
UGGGGAAUAUUGGGCAAUGGGCGCAAGCCUGACCCAGCAACGCCGCGUGAGGGAAGAAGGUCUUCGGAUUGUAAACCUCUGUCCUUGGGGACGAAAAAAAUGACGGUACCCAAGGAGGAAGCUCCGGCUAACUACGUGCCAGCCGCCGCGGUAAUACGUAGGGAGCGAGCGUUGUCCGGAAUUACUGGGCGUAAAGGGUGCGUAGGCGGCUUGGCAAGUAAGAUGUGAAAUCCCCGGGCUUAACUCGGGAGUUGCAUUUGAAACUGCUAGGCUUGAGUGCAGGAGAGGAAAGCGGAAUUCCUAGUGUAGCGGUGAAAUGCGUAGAUAUUAGGAGGAACACCAGUGGCGAAGGCGGCUUUCUGGACUGUAACUGACGCUGAGGCACGAAAGCGUGGGGAGCAAACA